ACGACAAACUGAAGCCAUUCGGCUUGGCCAUCUCAGGAUGCAUUGAUGGUUUUUCGAGAAGAAUGAUGUGGCUUGUUUGUGGGGCAACAAACAACAAUCCUUCUGUCAUUGCCCAGCAUUAUAUAAACUGUGUCAAGAAUCUUUGAGUUUAUUGUUGUCAUGACAACUCCAGAGGAAGUACCUAUGGAGUUGAGUCACAUCGCUGUCGUUUUGACAGUUUACAUGCCAUAUUGAAUUUGUUUCAAACAUUUAUUUUUAUAAAUGUGAGUAAAACCCUGAGACUACAUCCCAUAAUGUCCAAGUUGAGGACUGCUCGUCUUUUUUCACUGUUAUAUAAGCUGCAGACUAUUUUUAUUGUGUCAAAGUGUCAUUUUCAGUGUUGUCCCACAAAAAGAUAUAAAGAUCUGCAGAAAUAUAUGGUUCAAGAGAUUGUGGAUUUCCUGUUGARGACAGCGAUCUGGAUGUUUUCCCAGAAGCAAGUCAGGUGACAGAGUUGUGUGGUGAUAAAGACAUUGAGGAAUACCUACAGCAAGCCAUGCAACAACAUGGACAACAGCAGUCAGAAGACUGGGAGUCAGCUAUGGAACUGUAUUUCUUGCUCAAGGACAUAGCGAGGCUGUAGACACAAACGAGAAUCAAAUCGUUUAAUAUUUUGUCUCCUGUUCAUUUUGCUAAAAUGAAACCUCAUUGUUACUCAGAACAGCAACAAGUGCAUUAAACUUUUUUAUACACCAAAUUGUGCAUUCAGUGUGAACUAUGAAGAUAAAAUGUGCACAUUACACUCUUAAUACAAUUCUAACAAAGUUA